rnacentral:misc_RNA from 1 species
UGCACCUUUAUUUGUCUAAAUAAAAAGAAUAUCUAGUACGCUUUACGACGAUAUAUAUAGUACGCAGUGUUCGAUAAGAAAUAGUAAGAAAAUCUUGGAGAAAAAGCUUCCUAGAUAACCUCAUUUUCCAACAAUUGCGCGAAGUACAUAUUGGAAAAACCGGCAACGUCGCAAAACGUGCAACAAGUCGCUGCUGUCAAGGCGGAAGGAAAUUGCUACUCGAUGACGCACCUCUUCGUUCUUUAUAGUAGCCAGGGUGUUUACAUACUCCUUGAACCGAUUUCGUGCCUCGACUGCAAUAUUUUCAGCAUACCUCGUGUUUCCGGAUCCGUUAGGAACUUCUUGAAGUGCUUCACCAGAUCGUGAUUACGAGCAGUGCCCCCAUUUUCCAAUAAAUAUUCGCGAAUCUCUUCGAUAGACAGUUCACUGGGCGUCGCCAUCUUGUCACUACUGGUCGGCACAGCAGCGCCACUAUCUUCACUGCCUCGCUGUGCUGUCGAUAAAGACGACCUCUGUGUCGCACGAUACAC